AAAAAUGUAUUUAAAAUGCAUGCAAGCCUGUUGUCCUAAUUCAUACCAGCUGUUGACCUUGUUUCACGGCUUCUCGUUUAUGGAAAUGUAGAGUGAUGGAGUAGUGGGGUCUACCUUAUCCAGAUGUGAAGGUACAACGCAACAUGCAUCCCUGCUUCCAGACGAAAGAUGGAC